UACGUAGGGUGCAAGCGUUGUCCGGAAUCAUUGGGCGUAAAGCGCGCGUAGGUGGUCAUGUAAGUCCGCUGUGAAAGUCAAAGGCUCAACCUUUGAAAGCCGGUGGAUACUGCAUGACUAGAGUACGGAAGAGGCGAGUGGAAUUCCUGGUGUAGCGGUGGAAUGCGCAGAUAUCAGGAGGAACACCAAUAGCGAAGGCAGCUCGCUGGGACGUUACUGACGCUGAGACGCGAAAGCGUGGGGAGCAAACAGG
rnacentral:rRNA from 1 species